GACGAACGCUGGCGGCGUGCUUAACACAUGCAAGUCGAGCGGUAAGGCCCUUUCGGGGGUACGACGAGCGGCGAACGGGUGAGUAACACGUGGGUGACCUGCCCUCCAGCUCUGGGAGUAAGCCUGGGAAACGUGGGUCUAAUACCGGAUAUGACUCCAUGAUGCAUGUUGUGGGGUGGAAAGCCUUGUGCGGCUGGAGAUGGGCCCGC
rnacentral:rRNA from 1 species